CGACGCACCCCCAACACUCUGCCGCCCGACGCUCCGUCGCUCCGCCGCCUCCUCGACGCCAGUCCUCGUCCUGCAGGCUGUCAUUCUCCCCCAGGUUCAUACAGGAGUUACUCACUGGCCGUUAGAUCGUUGUUGCUUCAAGAUCUAUGCAGCUAUGUCUCUCUUAUAUUGAAAUCAAUUGCUUAGGGUCAGAAGUGGACGUUUGAAACCAAAGCUGCAGGAGGCUCGUAUACUAGGGUGAGGCUUGACAGAGCGCUCGGUUCAGCCGAGUGGUGCGCACAAUUUCCCCUUGCUGUGGUAGAACACCUGACUGUUGCAACCUCUGUUCAUUCCCCUCUUUUGCUAAAGCUCGAUCCACCAACUAGAAGGCCGGUACAGGAAAGGCAGUUACGUUAUGAAUGCAUGUGGGACACGCACCCUGAGUUAGUCCCCACGGUCCAGCAUGCAUGGGUGGCAAACGGCCCUAAUCUAACGGUGGCCGAGGUUCGUGCGAACCUAGAAUCCUUGUCUAACAACUUAGGCGAGUGGAGUAAGUCAACUUUUGGCAAUGUCAAGGCUGAAAUAAGAAGGCUAAAGAAGGACCUACAACGGCUCAGAAGUAACCCGCUCAGAGUAGGCCCG